rnacentral:rRNA from 1 species
UAAAAUUUAAAAUGAAUUUCUAAAAUUUUAUAAGCGAAGAAAAUCAAAAUACAAUUUUUGAAUAUUUAUAUUUUUAAAAUAUGGUUUUUUAAAACAAUAAAAAAAUAUAAAGUUAUUGAAUGUUAAUAAAUAUAUUUUUAUAAUAUAGUUAUAUAGAGUACUUAAAGAACUGAAUCAUCUUAGUAUUUAAAGGACUAAAAUGUAACAACGAUUUUCUUAGUAGCGGCGAGCGAAAAGGAAUUAAAUAUGAUAUUAUGAAUUUCAUAAUAUGUUAAAUUAAAUUUUUAAUUAAAUAAUAUGUAUAACAAUCUUAUAGUUUGUUUGACAUACAUUUUAUUUAGUACUAUCUAAAAAAAUUUUAAUAUUAUAGAAUUUUAUAGUGUACAAGUACUGUGAAGGAAAGAUGAAAAGAUUUUGGAUAAAAAAGUGAAAAGAACAUGAAAUUUUAAAUUUUAUAAAGUUUAUUUAGUUGAAUUUAAAUUUUUAAUUUAAUUAACUGCUUGUUGAAGAAUGAGUCGGCGAGUCAUAAUUAUUUAUAACAAUAUUAAAUAUUAAAUAAUAUAUUAAGAGAUAAAUCGAGUUUAAAAAAAACAAACAUAAUAAAUAAUUAUAGACCCGAACCCAAAUGAUCUAAUUAUGCUCAGAAAAUAUACUGUUUAGUCAGAUAUUGUUCGAACUAGUUGAUGUUGCAAAAUCAUUAGAUGAAGUGUAAUUAGAGGUGAAAUGCUAAUCGAAUUUGGAGCUAGCUGGUUUUCUCUGAAAUGUAUUUAAGUACAGAUAAAUAUAAAUAAAUAAAAGAUAAAGCUCUACAUUGUAUGUGUAUUAGUGUUCCUAUUAAUACGCAUGCUGAGUAAACUAUAAAUUAUUAUUAUUCUAAAUUUACUAUAAGAUGUAACUAUUAGGAUAUAUUUAUAUGACAUUGAGACUGUUAGGGUUAAGCUUAACAUGUCAAGAGGGAAACAGCCCUAAAUAUAAAAUAAGGUUUUUAAAUAUAUACUUAGUCUAAGAAGUUUAAUUAUGAUUAUGGCUAACAUAUAAGCUUUCAAGCGGCUAUUAUUUAAAGAGUGGUAUUGAGCACAUUAGAACAGUAGUUAAAUCUCACAAAUAAUAGAAAAUAAGUAUAUUACCGAAUUUAUAAAUUUAAAUACUCUAAGUACUAAAAUUACUAGUUUAUUUAAAUUGUAAGAGAACGUUUUAUUUAUAUUAUAUAAUUUAUACGGAAGUAUAAAUGAAUCACAAUAUAUAAAUAAAAGUGAUAAUGCCGAUUUAAGUAAUAAAAUAUUAGAUAUAAAUCUAAUACUCCGAAUAUUUAUAGAUUUCCUAUUAAAUGAGUUAAUCAAAUAGGGUUAGUCGAAGUCUAAAAAUAAAUAUUUUAUCUAUUUGAUGAAAAAUAAGUUAAUAUUCUUAUACUAUAUUAAAAUUAAAUUUUAUAUUAAAAUUUAGAAAACAGCAAAUAAUGUUUAUAUAAAACAGUGUUAAUAUUGAUAUAUAUAUUUAUAUUAUUUGUUUUUAACUAACUAGAAAUGUUUAAUUUUAAAAUAUUUUAAUAUAUUCGUAUUAAAUCUGACACAAGUAAAUAGGUAGUAAAAAUACUAAGGAGAUGAAUAAAUUUUCUUUAAGGAACUAGGCAAAAUUAUUCUGUAACUUAGGGAUAAAGAAUGCUUUUAAAGUGUAACAUACUAGGCUCAAACGACUGUUUAUCAAAAACACAGGUUCUUGCUAAAUUUAAUAAUGAUGUAAAAGAACUGACUCCUGCCCAGUUCUAGUAAGUUAAAAAAGGACACUUCUAUUAUGUGUUUUUUUAAGCUCUAGUUAAACGGCGGCUGUAUUCAUAACGGUCCAAAGGUAGCGAAAUUCCUUGUCGGGUAAGUUCCGACCUGCAUGAAAGGAGUAACGAUUUGAGCGCUGUCUUAAAGAAAAUUUCAAUGAAAUAAUAAUGUCUGUGAAGAUACGGACUAUUUACACAAGGACAGAAAGACCCUAUGAAGCUUUACUAUAGUUUAUGAAUAUAAUUUAUAUGUUGUUUAUGAAGAAUAUAUGGUUAAAAUAAACUUUUUAGUUUAUUUUUAUAGAUGGGAUACCAUUUGAACAAUAUAUAAUUAUUAAUAAUGUUAAAUAUAAAAAUUUAAUUAAAUAUUUAUAAAUGUGGUAGUUUUACUGGGGCGGUAUCCUCCUAAAUAGUAACGGAGGAGAACUAAGGGUAUUUAAAUAAUAUCUAUAAAGAUAUUGUUAAAUUUUAAAGAAAAUAAUACCUUAACUGUUAAAUAAACUUAUUAUACAGAAAUUAAUGUUGGUCUUAAUGAUCCGAUAAAUAAAAUUAAUAGAUGUAUUAUCGAUAAACGGAUAAAAGUUACUCUAGGGAUAACAGGCUGAUCUCUCCCGAGAGAUUUGAUAUUGACGGGGAGGUUUGGCACCUCGAUGUCGGCUUAUCGCAUCCUGAAGCUGAAUAAGGUUUCAAGGGUUGGUUUGUUCACCCAAUAAAGCGGUACGUGAGCUGGGUUCAGAACGUCGCAAGACAGUUUGGUCCAUAUCCGGUGUAAAUUAACAAAACAUUGCAACAAUUCUUUUUAGUACGAAAGGAAUAAAAGAACUAUAUUAAUUGUGUACUAGCUAUUUAAUUACAGAAUUAAGUAAUUGUUAGGUAGCAACAUAUAGGUAAAAAAUAAUUGCUGAAAAAAUCUAAGCAAGAAUAUGCGCUUAAAUAUGUUUUAACAAAUAAAAAAUUAUUAAUAAACAAAUAAAUAUAAUGUGAAUAUAGUGUACUUACAGAAAUGUAUUUAGCUGUAUAUUUAUAAAUUUUAUUUUUAAUUAUUUCUAAAUAUUUUAUAA